GUGAUUCAGAUCGCAUGUGGAGACCAUCAUUCAAUGGCACUAACCAAGGAUGGUCAGGUGUUGGUAUGGGGUGAGAACUCUCAUGGUCAGCUGGGUUUGAGGAAAGAUCAUCCCGGCUCUCCGUCUGCUCAACAUGUUCAGAGUCUGAGUGGGAUCCCGCUGGCUCAGAUCAGCGCUGGAGGAGACCACAGCUUUGUGUUGUCUCUCUCUGGAGUCGUGUUUGGAUGGGGAAAGAACUCUGCUGGACAGCUGGGCCUCGGAGACACUACAGACAGACACAUCCCAACAAUUAUAAAUAGCCUUCAAUUGAAGAAAACUGUGUCCAUCUCGUGUGGAGGGGAACACACUGCCACUUUA